CACUGGUUGAAGCUGCCAGACAGGUCUAUUACCUGUGUAACUGUGUUAUAGAAUACUUCUUAAUAUCUUUUUAUAUUACCUGUGUUAUAGAAUAUUUCAAGUAUCUUUUUAUAAUCUCUUAUUCCAUAUUCCUUGGGCUUGGUUAUAACUGAUCUGAUGGUGUUAAAUUGAUACUUGUAUUACUGGAAUGAUAUCUUUGUAUGUGAUUUUACAGUAUAAGAGAAAUAUGGUUGGCUCUUUAAUUUGGAGGAGAGCGAUGUUCGAAAGGGUUGUGUUAUCAAUUACUGGAGAACUUGGAUGCUCUUAAUGGACUAUUUUUCAUUUAUCUAAUGGCAUUUUUUUUUUUUUAA
rnacentral:misc_RNA from 1 species